CGGCGGACGGGUGAGUAACGCGUGGGUAACCUACCUCAUACAGGGGGAUAACAGUUAGAAAUAACUGCUAAUACCGCAUAAGACCACGGUACCGCAUGGUACAGUGGUAAAAACUCCGGUGGUAUGAGAUGGACCCGCGUCUGAUUAGGUAGUUGGUGGGGUAACGGCCUACCAAGCCGACGAUCAGUAGCCGACCUGAGAGGGUGACCGGCCACAUUGGGACUGAGACACGGCCCAG
rnacentral:rRNA from 1 species